rfam:Parcubacteria bacterium GW2011_GWA2_46_10 TX29_C0017, whole genome shotgun sequence.
CGGGCUGUAGUGUCAACGGCCAGCACGCGUGCUUUGGGAGCACGUAGAUCGAGUUCGAAUCUCGACAGCCCGC